rnacentral:misc_RNA from 1 species
GAUGAAGAACGUAGCGAAAUGCGAUACUUGGUGUGAAUUGCAGAAUCCCGUGAACCAUCGAGUCUUUGAACGCAAGUUGCGCCCGAAGCCAUUAGGCCGAGGGCACGCCUGCCUGGGCGUCACACGUCGUUGCCCCCCCCAUCUACUCCUUCGGGAUUGCGGGGGGCGGAUGAUGGCCUCCCGUGCGCCUCGCCGCGCGGUUGGCAUAAAUGCCAAGUCCUCGGCGACGCACGCCACGACAAUCGGUGGUUGCGAAACCUCGGUUGCCCGUCGUGUGCGGUCGUCGCGCAUCGAGGGCUCGAAAAAAUUGCCGAGUUCCGGCUCGGCUUUCAACGCGACCCCAGGUCAGGCGGGGUUACCCGCUGAAUUUAAGCAUAUCAAAAGCGGAGGA